rnacentral:rRNA from 1 species
AUUGAACGCUGGCGGCAUGCUUUACACAUGCAAGUCGAACGGUAACAGGCCUUCGGGUGCUGACGAGUGGCGAACGGGUGAGUAAUGCAUCGGAACGUGCCCAGAGGUGGGGGAUAACGCAGCGAAAGCUGUGCUAAUACCUCAUGUGAUCUGAGGAUGAAAGCUGGGGACCAGGCAGCAAUGUUUGGCCUCGCGCCUUUGGAGCGGCCGAUGUCAGAUUAGGUAGUUGGUGGGGUAAAGGCCUACCAAGCCGACGAUCUGUAGCUGGUCUGAGAGGACGACCAGCCACACUGGGACUGAGACACGGCCCAGACUCCUACGGGAGGCAGCAGUGGGGAAUUUUGGACAAUGGGCGCAAGCCUGAUCCAGCAAUGCCGCGUGCGGGAAGAAGGCCUUCGGGUUGUAAACCGCUUUUGUACGGAACGAAAAGGCUCUGGCUAAUACCUGGGGCUGAUGACGGUACCGUAAGAAUAAGCACCGGCUAACUACGUG